CAGCAGCCAAGAAGGAUUCUGGGGAUUUUCUGUCAACGUGGACACAGUAAAAAUUAUGAGGUGAUUGAUCUCUCAGGAAUGAAAGCUGUGGUUCCCUGUGAUGUACUGUAUGGAAUUUGAAUCCAACGACUGGAGCCAACAAACAGGAACACAGGGAGGCAGUAGGGCAUUGUGGGGCAAGUCCAUGAAGGUCAGGAGUGAUUGAAUUCUGGAUCAAUUGGAGCCUGCUGAUGGAGGACUCUGGAUCAACCUCAAGGUCGAAAAAGUCCCCUGGGUCGACACUGUCAAUACCUUUUAGAAUUUUGAAUGCCUGAAUCAGAUCGCCACGUAGUCUUCUUUGUUCAAGACUGAACAGAUUCCAUUAUUCUGGUCACUCUUCUUUGAACUCUUUCUACAGCAGCAAUAUCCUUUUUGUUGCGAGGUGACCAGAACUGAACACAAUAUUCUAGAUGAGGUCUUACUAAUGCAUUGUAAAGUUUUAACAUUACUUCCCUUGAUUUAAAUUCAACACUUUUCACUAUAUAUCCGAGCAUUUUGUUGACCUUUUUAUAGCUUCCCCACAUGUCUAGAUGAAAACAUUUCUGAGUCAACAUAAACUCCUAGAUCUUUUUCAUAUCUCCCAUUUAUAAUGGACAUUUUUAUUGCCUGCGUGCAGUACCUUACACUUUUCUGUAUUAAAUGUCAUUUGCCAUGUGUCUGCCUAGUUCAGCAAAUUUAACAAAUUUGCUUACUAUACUAGAAUCCAAGUCAUUAAUCUAGAUUAGGAAGAGCUGAGGACAUAAUACUGAUCCCUGUGGUACUCCACAAAUCUAUUUCAGUUAAUUCUAUAGAAGUUGCUUUGACUAAUCACUUGAAUGUUAUUAUUGUUGUUUUGAUUGAUUUUCUGAACACAUUGCGUGUCUGUAUGUUUAAUAAAUUCCAUUGUUUUAA